rnacentral:tmRNA from 1 species
GGGCUUGUACUGGUUUCGACGGGGGUUUUGAAGUCGAGGAAGCCAUCCGCGGGCCGGACCGCGUAAGAACCGGAACUUUAUAAAUUUAACUGACAAACCUCAGUUUGCAGUAGCGGCUUAAUGCCGCUCGUCGGCCCGGUUGCACCCGCGCUCCCGGUUCCCGGCGUCGAGAUCGCGGGAAACGACACUGGCUAAGCUUUGCGCCAGUGGGCGUAUGAUGAAGCUACUGAAGCUGUGAGGCUGCUGUUUGCCGCAUGGCGGAGGGAAUGAAAAGAAGCAGCUGUGAUGGGAGAUGCCUUGAUGGAGGGGCUCUCGGACGCGGGUUCGCUUCCCGCCAGGUCCAU